rnacentral:rRNA from 1 species
UACGUAGGGGGCUAGCGUUGUCCGGAAUCAUUGGGCGUAAAGCGCGUGUAGGCGGCCCGGUAAGUCCGCUGUGAAAGUCGGGGGCUCAACCCUCGAAAGCCGGUGGAUACUGUCGGGCUAGAGUACGGAAGAGGCGAGUGGAAUUCCUGGUGUAGCGGUGAAAUGCGCAGAUAUCAGGAGGAACACCGGUGGCGAAGGCGGGAUCCUGGGCCAGUACUGACGCUGAGGAGCGAAAGCGUGGGGAGCAAACAGG